UUAGGGUUGGCCCUGACCUAGUUUGACCAGUGUCCUUAUGAAAACGCAGAAGUUGGACAAAGACACACCCACAGGGAAAGCACCAUGAGAAGAUGACGGCAGAGAUCUGGGCGACGCGUCUACAAGCCAAGCGACACCAAAGGUGGCCAGCAGCCCAUGUGAAGCUGGAGGAGAGGCCUCGAAUAAAUGCUCCCUUACAGCGUUCAGGGGGAACUGACCCUGUCCACACCUUGACCUUGAACUUCUGGGCUCCAGAACUGUGAGACAGCAUGUUCUGUUGUUGAAGGAGCAGCGUGGCUAGAGGAAUUCCUGCAGCUUAGAUUUCGCUGGCACUGUUACCACUCCCAGAGAGGAGCGGCUGGAGUUCACGGCUGGUUCCUGACAAACUUCCUAAUUAAUCUGCUAAAGAUCAGAGGAGGACUAAUAGGAGCUGAAGACUGUGUGCGAGACCACCCCUCCGCCCUCUCCCUUUGUGUGUGCACGUGUGUGUGUGUGUGUGUGUGAGCGCGUGCGCGCAUGUGGUGCUGAGCUUGGCGGGAGAGAGAUGGCCUCACCAGCGACAAAGCAUUCCUGCUGCUGUUGCUGCCACCUACCUUCCCUGCUUUGGGAGGAUACAUUUUCUCCUCUUGCUUAGAAGUUUCAGGGAGUCACCCAAGCCUUCUUCUCCCAGAUACAACGGUGGAAUAAAAUAUCUUCCAGCCAACAUAUUUUUUGGAGACGGAAUCUCACUCUGUCACCUGGUUGAAGUGCAGCAGCGCGAUCAUGGCUCACUGCAACCUCUGCCUCCCGGUUUCAAGUGAUUCUCCUGCCUCCGCCUCCCGAGUAGCUGGGAUUACAGGCAUGUGCCACCCACCACGCCUGGGUAAUUUUUGUAUUUUUACUAGAGACAGGGUUUCACUAUGUGGGCUGGGCUGGUCUCAAACUCCUGACCUCUGGUGAUCUGCCCACUUCGGCCUCUCAAAGUGCUGGGAUUACAGGCAUGAGCCCCCGCACCCGGUUGCAACCAACUUUUUUGUGGAAUAUAGGAUCUUGAUGUUUGGAUGCCUGAAGGCAGAAGCUGUUGCACAUGGAAUGGAUUAAAGUUUUCCCCUCUGCAACCAAAAAUCCUUGGGGUCCCAGGAGCAAAAGAUGCUCCAUGGCACAGGACAAUUCAAGAAGGCCCGAGGUGAUAUUGAAGACUGCAGAGACAUCCAGCUCAGUUGUGUCUCCGGAGGUGUCCAGACUUUGCAGACAGACGUUGCACAUAAAGAGCUGAAAAACUGAGGAAGCUGAGCUGGAGAAGGAAGUCACUUCUACUCAGACUUGACCUGCGUCUGAUGCUAUGGGGCCUCUUAGGGUUACCUCAUGCUUCAUGCACCCCUUUCUCUGUUCUUCAGCAGAAGGCAGGGUGUAGGGAAGCGGGACUGUGCCUCCUUUCUCCCUGCCAGGCCUGACUCUCCAGGCCAAGAGACACCAUUAAGGAGUAUAAUUUGUUGAUCCAGGCUCUCCUUGCGUUUCAGUGCAGAGUGGCAUCGUUUUCUUUAUGACCUCGUAAAGUCACAGCCGAGAGGCCGAUUUGGAAAACAAACUGCCUCAGGUUGACAGAUAAUUAGAUACAGGGGACAUAUUAUAUGCCUUUGCAUAUAAAUGUGCUCCGAGGCGUGUUGGUUCAUCUGAAGUUGAGGUUAAAGGCGCGCCAGGUAUUCCUGACACAUCAGGAUAUAUAUUUUCAUACAGUCUCAGGUGCUGUGUUGGUUUUAUAGGCCUUUCAUCCUGGUGCUGACGGAUGGGGUGUGAUUGUGACCCAACUUAGAAGAAAGGGACUUCCCUUGCCCAGGGGCCUCCUGGCGUUUUUGUUUUGUGUUCUCCCUCUCCACCCCCACUUUCUCUUCUUCCUUGGGAAGGGAACUGUUCUUUGGACCUAGGAUUCUGCCGUGAGUGACUAAUGGCCUGAGUAGGAGGGACCGGGACUCAUUUUUCUUUUCUGGACUCUAAUAGGCCCAAUUAAUUCAGCUACAACAUGGGCCCUUACAAGCCUGGGACAAGCCUGGGUGGAAUUCUAUAUUGAGGAGUUAAUCCUAAUAAAAAAUGAUUACAGAAGAGGACGCCUCCACCCACAGGAAGGAGCCAGCACGGUGGGGAGCUGUUUCACCAGGGGAGUGUUCUCAGCAGCUGCCACACGUGGAGUUGUGGAGGUAGCAAGCAGAGUUGGGGGAGGAGGGGGAGCCCUGGUUCCUGCUCUUCCAUGAUCAGUGUGCAGCCUUGAGCAUGGCACUCCCUCUCUUCCCAGCUUAGUGUCCUCAUCCGUAAAAUGAGGGGCUCUCUGAGAGUCUGCCAGGGCCGCUGUCUGAUCUGUGACAGCGUGGCAUGUGGUGUGGUAUGUAAUGCACGUUCCUGCCUGCAGGGAGGCCCUCUCCCUUCCCCCACCAGGCUUCUGGGCAGCACUUGCUGUCAUCCUUGCUUCUGGAACAGGACUGUGCUGUUUUCCAGGCCAAAUUGGAGGGCUGAGGGGGUCUAUUAAGAAGACUCUGGGGAGAUGGUGGAACAAUUCUGUGCUUGAAAUUACCUUCCUCUUUAAAUCUUGCCAUGGCCCUAUUAGAAAAGCUAAGGGGGCAGGAGGAGAGGAGCGGGCAGGGAGAGGAGAGAGAGAGAGAAGAAGGAAGAAGGAAAGGGAAAGGUAAGAAACCCCAUAGCCCGACCCUCAGCCCUGUUGAAGGAGAUUAUAUAAAUAGAGUCGCUGUCACUUUGAUGAAUUAAAUCCUCCGUUAAUUAGGACGCAUCCAUUUAAGGGUUGUCCAGCCAGAUAGUCCUUUUCCCUUCCCAGCAAGUCAUAGCUCAGGGAGGAGGCAUGAGAGGGAUCGUUUUCUGUUUCUGGCUUGAUUGCUGGUUUCUUUCUUACUAGGCUUCAUUAAUUAUCCUGGAAUGUGGUCACCCAGUUUUCUUCAACAUGGGCCAUUCUCCUUUUAGCAGGAUCUUGGCAGUGGACUGCCACGGGAGCUCUGGGGAAAAAGGACCAGUUGGACUCCAGUACCUCCUGAGAGACCACCACCCUCCAUGCCUCCAGCUCAUGCCCAGCUCUGAGUCAGACGGACUCUUCCUGUUGUACUGCGAGGUUCUGCAAACCUUGAAGGGCAAACACAGUGAGGGUCUCUGACUUGCUGUGUGGACAGCCCACUCUCUGACAGCCCAGAUCAUCUGAAGCUAUCCCUGGGCUGGGAGCUGGAAGCCAUUCUUGUGAACCACUCCUUAUACCUUGAGCGAAGCCUCUUUGGGUCCCAGAAGUCUGAAGCUCCAGCUGCCUGGCAAGACUGAGUCUAGAUGAUUUCUUGGGUACCAGUAGUUUGGCAUUUAAAAAUACUGGAUUAACUGCAGUGUAAACUUAGAUUGCAUUUCAGAUUGUAAACAAUAACCCCCGUGCUUCAUGUGAUGUUAAAUCAGAAAUGAGCUAUUAGCCAAGCUAGUCCUCUUAUGAAUGAGCCCCUAACCCUGAUCCAGGGAUCGUUGAAUGAAAAUCAUCAAAAUGAUUUAUCUUCACUUUACCUAUUGUCUCACAAGAAUCUCAUCACUCAGGGAAAAGGAGGGUGUUCUUCAGGGAACGGAGGGCAUGAGGAAGGGGGAUUUCCUUAUAUCUCAACUUUCAGAGGGAGCUGAGUUGUAAACAGAUGGAACAAGGUGUGUACGAGAAGCCUCUUAGAUUUAGUCUUUCAUAUCAAGGCUCUUGCUGAAAAUCCUGGCACAGCUGUGAAAUGAGGGGAGCUCUGACACACAGAGACACGCUCCUUGCCUCACCAACCUUCCCAUACACAGUCAUGCGCACAGAGAGCAGGUACCAAUACUGAAAAUGCCCUUCCGGAGUUUCCUCAGCUUAAACCCUUGACAGCAUUAAGUGAGGAAGGAGUUUCCUUGACCUGGGGAAGAAGAACCAACUCAUAAACAUGGAACUGUG
rnacentral:lncRNA from 1 species